AUGACGCAUUCUUCAAGGACAUUUCCUGCCCAAUUUCUGUUCCUUUAACUGAUGGGACACAGAAAGCCAAGUUAUCGGUCCUCUAGCAAGGCCCUCUGAGCCUUGGCCUUGGUACUGAGUGGCCAGAUGUGGCUCUCCAGUUGCAGGUGAAGUCAGCUCUGUCCCCCGGAGGGAGGUGUGCCUGUUCAGCCUUGUGCUCUGG